CAGUCGAGGGAAUCCUUCAUUGCUUCAAGAAGCUCUCUUCUCCCUGUUCCAGAGGCAGAGGAUUCAGGUGACAGUGAUGCUGAACUGGACAGUGAUGGACUCAAAGGAGAGCGGGAGUUGGGAGACAAUAUGAUGGAGAAAAGAGCUGACAUGGAUUCUGAAGUGGUCCUGACACAGUCCAUGGUAGUGAAGAAGGAUGCCCUGUCCAAAAGAUACUACAGAAGUAAGUGUGUGUCUCUCUGGAGCUGGCUCCUGGUUUGGGUGAACUGCAUGGAUUGUAGACUGAAGGUCAAUUGAUUGAAGACA